rnacentral:rRNA from 1 species
UACAGGGGUCUCAAGCGUUGUUCGGAUUCAUUGGGCGUAAAGGGCGCGUAGGCGGCAAGGCAAGUCGGGUGUGAAAGCUUGGGGCUUAACCCCGAAAGGGCACUCGAAACUGCGUUGCUAGAGGGCCGGAGAGGAGAUCGGAAUUCACGGUGUAGCAGUGAAAUGCGUAGAGCUCGUGAGGAAGACCGGUGGCGAAGGCGGAUCUCUGGACGGCCCCUGACGCUGAGGCGCGAAGGCUAGGGGAGCAAACGGG